rnacentral:rRNA from 1 species
GCAGUGGGGAAUAUUGGACAAUGGGCGCAAGCCUGAUCCAGCCAUGCCGCGUGUGUGAUGAAGGCCUUAGGGUUGUAAAGCACUUUCACCGGUGAAGAUAAUGACGGUAACCGGAGAAGAAGCCCCGGCUAACUUCGUGCCAGCAGCCGCGGUAAUACGAAGGGGGCUAGCGUUGUUCGGAAUUACUGGGCGUAAAGCGCACGUAGGCGGAUAUUUAAGUCAGGGGUGAAAUCCCAGAGCUCAACUCUGGAACUGCCUUUGAUACUGGGUAUCUUGAGUAUGGAAGAGGUGAGUGGAAUUCCGAGUGUAGAGGUGAAAUUCGUAGAUAUUCGGAGGAACACCAGUGGCGAAGGCGGCUCACUGGUCCAUAACUGACGCUGAGGUGCGAAAGCGUGGGGAGCAAACAGGAUUAGA